CGGGGUGUAGCGUAGCCCGGUUAUCGCGCCUGCUUUGGGAGCAGGAGGUCGAGAGUUCGAAUCCCUCCACCCCGA
rnacentral:tRNA from 2 species